CUUCCCAACCGUCUUCCAACCCUUCUCAUGCUGACACGCGUCCCCAGCAGACCAAAAUUAUCCCUAUAUUUCACUCUUUGAGCCGACCACAGACCUUCCGCUCUUUUGGCCCGACUGCCAAUCUACAAUAGUAUGGGUCCGACCGCCAAUCCUCCCGACUUGCGAACCAUCUGGCCUGAGGUCUUUCCGCCUUGAGGACUUCCCGACCUGAAAACCUUCCGACUUGAGGUCUUUCCGUCUUGAGGACCUCCCGACCUGAAAACCUUCCGACUUGAGGUCUUUCCGCCUUGAGGACUUCCCGACCUGAAAACCUUCCGACUUGAGGUCUUUCCGUCUUGAGGACCUCCCGACCUGAAAACCUUCCGACUUGAGGUCUUUCCGCCUUGAGGUCUUCCCGACCUGAAAACCUUCCGACUUGAGGUCUUUCCGUCUUGAGGACCUCCCGACCUGAAAACCUUCCGACUUGAGGUCCUUCCGUCUUGAGGACCUACCGACCUGAGGUCCUUCCGUCCUAAUGACUUUCCGUCUUGAGGACCUACCGACCUGAAGACCUUCCGACCUGAGGACUUUCCUUAGUAAUAAACCUAUUUUCCUUGAUUUCCUCAUGGUACCCUUCAGUCAGUUCAAUCAACUCUAUUGCCAGGCCCAUUCUUCUUUUUACCUUGGGCUUUUAACCUAAUUCUAA